rnacentral:rRNA from 1 species
GACGAACGCUGGCGGCGUGCUUAACACAUGCAAGUCGAACGGAAAGGCCCUGCUUUUGUGGGGUGCUCGAGUGGCGAACGGGUGAGUAACACGUGAGUAACCUGCCCUUGACUUUGGGAUAACUUCAGGAAACUGGGGCUAAUACCGGAUAGGAGCUCCUGCUGCAUGGUGGGGGUUGGAAAGUUUCGGCGGUUGGGGAUGGACUCGCGGCUUAUCAGCUUGUUGGUGGGGUAGUGGCUUACCAAUGCUUUGACGGGUAGCCGGCCUGAGAGGGUGAGCGGCCACAAUGGGACUGAGAUACGGCCCAGACCCCUACGGGAGGCAGCAGUGGGGAAUAUUGCACAAUGGGCGGAAGCCUGAUGCAGCAACGCCGCGUGCGGGAUGACGGCCUUCGGGUUGUAAACCGCUUUCGCCUGUGACGAAGCGUGAGUGACGGUAAUGGGUAAAGAAGCACCGGCUAACUACGUG